rnacentral:rRNA from 1 species
AGAGUUUGAUCAUGGCUCAGAUUGAACGCUGGCGGCAUGCCUUACACAUGCAAGUCGAACAGCAGCGCGGGAGCAAUCCUGGCGGCGAGUGGCGAACGGGUGAGUAAUAUAUCGGAACGUGCCUUAGAGUGGGGGAUAACUAGUCGAAAGACUAGCUAAUACCGCAUACGACCUACGGGUGAAAGUGGGGGAUCGCAAGACCUCAUGCUCUUAGAGCGGCCGAUAUCUGAUUAGCUAGUUGGUGGGGUAAAAGCCUACCAAGGCGACGAUCAGUAGCUGGUCUGAGAGGACGACCAGCCACACUGGGACUGAGACACGGCCCAUACUCCUACGG